rnacentral:tRNA from 1 species
GCUAUUGUAGCUUAAAUUUAAAGCAUAACACUGAAGAUGUUAAGAUGGGCCCUAAUAAAGCCUCGAAAGCA